UUUGGCGAAUUCUGCAGGUAAGGGGUGCUGGCGGGGGAAAUGGAGGCGUUAUUGCCAAGAGGAGAGUCAGCUCCAGCCCCAUGUGCUUCCUUCAACUCCAGGAGGAAGGUAUUAAAAGCCCUCCUCUUACCACUGAGGACACUGGGUCUCUGAGAAGCAGAGCAACUUCCUCAAGGUCACACAGCACAAAAUGCCUGAUGUCAAGAGAGGAAAUGAUGGGCAUGUUCUGCAUCAAAGGAGCCUAAGGAGACAGGACAAGCAGAUGCAAGGCUGACACCAGAGUGGAAACUACUGGAAGGGGAAAUGCCACUGAGGAUGUGGCAGGGUCACCUGGCAAACGCAACGUGAGCCGUCUUACAGGCAAGAGUCACGGCGAUGCUGAACGCUGUGGUGGUAAGAGAACGCGUCGCCUGCGGGAAACUCGCCACGAAGAAGCCGGGGGUGAAGGGCCAUGUUGUCUGCACCUCUCCCUGUGGUUCAGGGAAGAAUGUGCGUGUGCACACGUGUGUGUGCGUGUAUAAAGACAGAAGAGCAAAUGAGGAAGAAGGCAUUGCCAGGUGUCACAAUGAGCUGAUGGGUGCUUCCUGAGACUCACUCCACGGACCCUUCCACUCUCUCCUGCCUUAAUUCUUCCCCUCUGUCUGAAAUUCCAGCCUGGCUAAUCCAUGCCCACGUGGCCCGUGUUGAAGGGCACACGCUCUCCGGAAGCUUUCCUUGUUUGGAUCUUAAGGACACUGGGCUGGAUCCCAAUGGCUCUUCAUUGUAGCUGAGACCUGGGAGUGAGGAUUUUCAUGUGCUUGUGGCACAGGGUGGUGCCAAGGACGGGGCGUCCAUGGUGGAAUUGCAAGGGGAGUCAAUGGCACAGUAGGAAAAGCAGCGGGUACCGACAGGCACAGAGACCAGAGCUGGCAGGAGGAGGAGGGAAACAGAGAAGGAGCUACAGCUACCAUCCACCACCCGGCCUCGUCUGGAGAGGGCUGGCCAGGUUCCCUGGGCCGGGUGGGAACCCAUGUCUUCUUACUUCCCUGCCAGGGCUUCGUUUCCCCUGGAAAGUGAAUGCGCAGCCCUAGAACAUGAACGGCCAGUGCUGUUCCGGUGGCCCCCGACCCGGCACCACCCUUUCGUGUCUUUGGGUUAACCUUGCCACUGUGGGCUCUAACGGUAAUGAAGGUGUUUUCCCACAUAAAGGGACAAACUGAAUCCUUCAUAUCUUGCUUGUUAUCAAAGAAGUGGAACAAAAUGAAUAAAUACUUUGAAUGAUUUCCAGUCUCCUGCCUCAGCACAAUGGCUGCUUCUCAGGGACCGUGGAGAAGCUGGGCAGCACACCAGGUGCCGUCCUGUGUCAUCAGGCAUCUCGUUCCUAGGGUGGCCUCCACUGGCCACCACAGCUCCUCAUCAGUGGGCUGUAGAAGGCUGACCGCUGUGGCUGACAGCUCAGGAGACUCCUAAGGUGCAGCCUUCUCUGGAAGCUCCUUGCCACCCCAGGAAGCAGGUUAGAACCUUGCAAAGCAUAAAAGCCCCUGGACAAGCUAAUCCUUAACCACAUCUGCAUCUGUGACUGUCCCCUCUCCCACCUCCAAUUCAGAUGACACUACCUGUCUUCUAUUCGCCAGAUAUUGUCUUACCUUGACUCACAUUUAAGCAAAUAAUCUUCCCUAUUCCCAGAAUGCCCCUUGUCCUCACUUUUCCUGCUAAACUCAAUUUUGCUUUGUGUGUGGGUUUUUAAUUUAUUUUUUAACCCUGAGCCACAACCCCAGCCCUUUUUAUUUCUUGUUUUGAGUCAGGGUCUUGCUAAGUUGUUUAAGGCCUCUCUAAGUUGCUGAGGCUGGCUUUGAACUCGUGAUCCUCCUGCAUCAGCCUCCUGAACCACUGGGAUUACAGGCAUGGCUACUGCACCCAUCUGGUCUGUUCUUUUGGUCCACCCUAUCUGUCACUUCCUUCAGGAAGCAUCCCCAGGGUUCGACCUCCUCCUCUGGGCUCACCAGGCACCAAGGUCUUGAUUUAGGAUCCUUCCCAAUCUGGUAAAAGUCCAUGUUUCCCAAGACAGGCUCUCUUUAGGCCCAGGAAGUAGGACUCAUCUUAUUCUCUGUUAUUGCCCAUAGUCUAGUACUGAAUGAUGACUCAAGAAAUAUUUGUUUCAGCAAUGAAUAGAGGAAAGAGCACCAAAGAGCCAUUUUAAACUGACUCUCCAAGUUUACUCUGAGGGCUUCGAGUGGAGCUCAUGAUUCUGCCAUGUGAGAAAUCAGCAGAUCUCCGACAAAAGUGCUGGUUUCAAAGCCCACACCUGUGACCCGCUAACCUCUCCACACCUCAGCUUCCUCACCUGUACAGUGCAGAUCACCUCCCAGUGUCACCGUGUGCAUCAAAGAGCAGGGACCCACAGUGUGCUCACACUGUCCCCAGCCCUGGUAUGCUACAGAUAAAUGUUAGUCUUUAUGAUCAGGAGGCUGCUGCCAUGGAAACCUGGCUAGGUACCUGAAAUGAACUGAUGCCUCAACCAGAUGUUGGACAUACCACAGCAUCUGGGCAUCCACAAGCAGAAUCUACCUUCAAAAUAAGAGCUCAGUUUCCUCUGUCAAAAUCAAACCUGAUUAGGGGAAAAUGAAGCUUAUCGUUUCAUAUUUCUGGUCCUCUGAUACCCAGUAAAGACAGGGUGUUCUGCUAAAUCUGAUGUGAAGUCAGAGUACUCUUUUCAGCACAUUUGCCAAUAGAAAAUAGCGUCCUAGCUGUAUUCUGUCCUGCAGCUGAGGAUCCAGAAACCAGAGGGACCCACAGAUGGAAGGCAGCCCCGCCGAGGAGGGACUCACAGCCUUGAGGCCCCAGCGCCAUAACGUACCACCUUGGGGAAACCACUUUACCUCUCUGUGCCUCAGUUUCUUCAUCUUUGAAAUGGGGCUAAUGAUAUCAUCUAUCUCACAGGAUUCCACAAAAGGAAUAAAUAUGUUAAAGUUUGUAAAAUGCUUAGAUCAGCACCAUCUACUAUGUAUUUGGUAAACAAAGCAAAUAAUAAAACUUUGAAUCCAACUCAAACAAGAGAGAAAAUUACAGACUGUGACCUCAGGGCCCUGGGGACUAUGGCUGUGUACGUUUAUUUCUGCAUUUUUAUUUCAAAAUAACUGUUCAGGAGGGCAGAAAGGAGGCAGAAAGAAAAUCCUAUUUGUUCUGCCUGUGAAGCUGGCAAUUCCUAAGGGGGAGAAAUCAAUGAGACUUUGAUAAACAGUCUGCAACCCUCCCUGGCAAAUCCCUAAAAUGGAUUCCACUAAGAUCCCUGACUUUCAAGUCUUCCACGAGGAAGACAACAAUAAACAUAGGCUUUUCUCUAAGGAGGAGGUGAAAUUUCAUUAUUUUCAGUAAUAAUAAUACUUUUUAUGAAGUUACCCUUGAGUCAGUCACUAUUUUUUGAGGGGCUGUUCACAUAUAGAACAUGAUAACUGAGCUCAUUAUAAUAACCUGCCACAAAUACAGUCACGUGGCCCCUUACCCAUCUCCAAACCUAUCUGCAAGUCUUAACUGCUUUCCAGAUACGUCCCCUCCUCCUGGACUGAAGGAUAAAGAGCAGGUGUCCUAGCACUGAUGACUGCCGUUGCUCUGUAUGAACUGUCAUUCAUAAGCAAGCGAUUUUGUGCCUCUAAGCCUCGGUUUCGUGUCGAUGAAAUGGAGAUGCCAUUCUCCACCCGUAGUCUAUCUAAGUAUUAAAUGAGGGAGCUGAUUCUGUAAGGCCCCUGGCUAGUGACUGACACAUGUCUUUGGUAUCCUGCUCCACAUGACUGAUUUUGAAGAUAAAAAAGUGUGAAGGCCGAGGCAGAUGUGUUAUUUCAGGGGUUACGUAUGCGAAGAAACGGUUGUUAAAUGUCUAUAUGGGAUAAUGGCAGUGGGAUUCUUUUUGAAAGGAUUCUGUCCAGAUGAGCCUCUAAAUGCCUGGGGAAAUGGCUGAUUCCAGCUCCAGAGAAGGAAAUGCACAGGGAGCCAUGGAGAAUUGCCAGGACCGUGACAAAAGGACUCUAAAGACUAUUUGACAAGACUCUCAGGGGCCUGAAAGGGGAAAUCUGGGUGUCAUUUACUUAAUACUUGGAAUAAGGAUAAUACUAUAAAGGACUGCAAAGCAUGAACUAUGUUCAAAUCCAGGAGUUGAUAACUGAUACUUCAGAAUGAUCACUUCUGGAAGAUGCUAGGGAAGUAGAUAUUAUUUUCAAAGAUAGUUAAUAAGGGAGGGAACCAAACCUUUGUCCUACUCUCCUAGGUGAAGCGUUCCUCCACAUAACCAAACAGUGAAAGAGGACACUCUUCUCUGAGGACGCGGGAUCUCAGCUAAUAAAGCAGAGGGAAGGGAAGACAGCCACACAUUCGUACACCCCAGUGGAUUCGUGGCCCUGGCCAGGGGCCAUCUACGUCUGCUCGUGCACCAAAGACAGGCUGUGGGACACGAUGUGCCAACCAGGUGGUCAUCUUGCAGAGAAACAAAAAAAAAAUCUUGCUGAGCAUCUAGAUCUAAUCAUCAAAUCAUAGUAAAUGCAGAGACAAAGGAAUAUGUCCCCCCACUGGGGGAUGGUGAGCAAAAUUCAGAAUCUACAAAAAGAACCGACCAGUCUCUCAAUCAAAAAAGAAAUUAGGAGAGAGAGAGGAAAAAAGAGAGACACAGAGGAGGAAUCUACAGAUUAAGAGGCAAGAAAAUAUGUCAACCAUUCAGAAUAUAUGAACCUUCCUCAUAUUCCAAAUGAGGAAAUCUGUUGUGUUUUUAUAAAAAUGGGAAAAUUUGAAAACUUCAGAUAUUUGAUAUUUCAAAAUUAAUGUUAAUUUCUUAGCUGCAAACAUAGUGUUAUGGUUAUUUUAAUUGAGGCCAAAUUCACGUGACAUAAAUUGAUCACUUUAAAGCGAACAAUUCAUUGGUGUUGAGCGAGUUCACGAUGUUCCAAAACCAUCUCCCCUGAAACUACCCACCUGCACCGUCUCCCUGGGUAACCUAUCCUGGAUAUUUCACACAACAGAUUUUACAAUAUAUGACUUUUGAGUCGGUUCCUUUCACUUAGCAUGUUUUCGAGAUUUAUCCAUGUUUUGGCAUGGAUCAGAACUUCAUCACUUUUUAGGACUGAAGAGCACUGUGUCCUACAUUUGGGUCAUUGAUCCAUUUUAAGUUAAUUUUUGUCUAUGGUAUGAAGUAGGGGUCCAAAUUUAUUACCGGGCAGGUUGUCUAUUUCAUUUUAGAGAUAUAAAAUGUUUGUGUAUGAAUUGAAAUGUCUACAAAUUUGUCUCAAAAUAAUCUAUGAAAAAAGAAUGGGGAAUACAGACAACAUAAGAUUGGUUCAUGAAUUUAUCAUUGUUGAAGUCAGAAAAUGAGUACAUGUAAUCCAUUAUACAACUUCUAUGUUUUCAUUUUUCCAUAUUAAAAUGAGGGCAUUGUUUUUAGAGGGAUAAUCAGAAACAUUUACAGAUGAAAAUGCAUAAUAUCUGAAGUUCAUUUCAAAAUAAUUCCUAUUUGGGAGUCGGGAAGGAUGGAAAUGAAUGAGACUAUGAGUCAACAGUUCGUAGAGCUGCGUGAUGAUACAUGUGGAUUCAUUUUACUGAUCUUUCUGCUUAUUGAGUACAUUUGAAAAUUUUCCAUGAUAUAGUUUUCUAAUGUGAUCUAUAAUUCAUUCCCUAAGAUUUGACUUGGUAAUAAUGAGAAUCUUUGCAAAUGAAGACUGGAGGAGACGGCUGCAGAAUUAUCAGUAGCUGACGUUCCUUACUCUGAGAGCCGGCCAACCGCACAACUGGAAGAAAGGAAUAUGGCGAAUGAGCCUGUUGAAGGAAUUCUUCCAGAAAAGGAGGAGGAGGGGCAUUUGACUGGCCUAGAAGAGUGAGCGCUAAGUUUGUCAAGAAGACUGGAGCAGGAAGGGGGUUUAAAUAGAUGGCAGACAGGAGUGGAAGGGUCGGAAUAUUUGAGUGGGGUGUAGGGAGGGUCCAGGAAAUUGGCAAUGGACGAUGGUGGUGGGCUUUGACUAUCACACUAAAGACAGACUUUCAAGUAAGCCAGAGUGGAAAGCUGAUGGUCCAUGCUGAUAGGAAGUCUCUGCCCGAUCUGUGUAGUAUGUGUAUUUGAAUUAAGCCAUUAAUAGAAAAACACGUAGAAGACUUUACUUAAAAAUCUGAAUUUCUUUAAAAAAAAAUAGAAGAUCUAGAAACACCAGGAACACAGGACCUGGGCCUUCCUAGGUUCAUGCAGGUCCCCCAGCGGCAGGCACUCGGCGCACAGCAGUGGCAGGGCCAUUUGCCACCACAGUUUGGCGGGAGCUGUUUUUAUUUUUUCUUAUAAGGAACAUUUUCCUGCAACUCCUUUGGCCUCUAUCAACAGUGAGAAGGUGAAAUGUGGUCUGAGGGUCUCACUGGAACUCUUGAGAGGGCACACUCCUCUGCGGCAGGAAGACAGCUCUACUGCCACCUGCCCAAGGUGCAGAGUGCAGGACGAAGGCCACCUAGGGGUCCAAAGCAGCAACCAGGACAGCAGCACCCCAGGAGGACCACGUGAUGCCCCUCCUCCUGCCUUCCAGGUGCUUCAAAACUUCCUCCGGAAGGCCCUCUGUCCCCCUUACGAGGAGGGCGUGGGUCAAGUGGGCUGCUGGAACCCUCCGGAAACCCGUCCUCGGGCAGGGGCAACCUUGAUUGCCACGACACCUUCACACGAUGCCACUCACCUGCUCUGGCGUCACCCAGUCUUGGCUUUGACUGAAGUUAGUGACAAACGCAGAAACGGGCUGGUACUUAGGCCUCCAAGCUUGGGAGCCUCGGUCAGCAGACUUCUGCUCAGAACCUACAGAGCUCCUGGCCUCAAACUUCCAGCUAGAUUCGCAAUUGCUUGCUGUUGGCUCAUUAGUGGGGAAACUGCGCCCCCUGCUGGCACUCCCAACGACAUCCAAACUUGGCAGCCUGCUGGCCGGGCUGUGCCUGACAGCUGAACUCUUUUCACACCUCAGAGAGAAAUCCAGCCAGACCAGAGGAUUCCUUUCAUUUAUUCUUUUUCAAAUUAACUGGUGGUAAGAAUUUGGGGACAUCAUCUGAGACAUCGUUUUUUAUGGAUGAUAAUAAUUACCAAUUAUCAAACAUAUAUUAGGAGCCAGGCACAGUUCUAAUGCCUGCUUUAUUAAAAUCUCUCAACAGUGAAGAUUAUUAUGCCCAUUAUAUUAAACACUGACCACUUGGUGUGAUUUUCAUCAGAUAACUUGAGCAUUUCUUACUUACUGAGCUCACCUGUGCUGGGUGCCGUGGAUCUCUGGUCCUGGGAAUGCAUGGAUUCCCUUCAUGAAGUCACAGCAGAGUGAGAAGCAGACCGGGCUGUAGUCUGCGCUGCUCCGCCUGGUGUUUUUAGUUGGCCUGUUCAUUGUGUCCUCCAGCGGUCCUGUGAAGGAGGGUUAUAUAUCCAUUUUAGAGGUGAGAAAAAUAGGUUCAGAGAGGUCCACUCACCUGCCUAGGGUUUCCUAGCAGGUUGGUGGAGCUGGGAUUGAAGCUCAAGUCUCCCAGGGGCAGAGCUAUACUUUCUAAGAAGCUAUACUAAGUAAGAUGCUAUA